GAGCGCACUCUUCGGAGUGAGCGGCGGACGGGUUAGUAACGCGUGGGAACGUGCCCUUCUCUAAGGAAUAGCCACUGGAAACGGUGAGUAAUACCUUAUACGCCCUUCGGGGGAAAGAUUUAUCGGAGAAGGAUCGGCCCGCGUUAGAUUAGAUAGUUGGUGGGGUAACGGCCUACCAAGUCUACGAUCUAUAGCUGGUUUUAGAGGAUGAUCAGCAACACUGGGACUGAGACACGGCUCAGACUCCUACGGGAGGCAGCAGUGGGGAAUCUUGGACAAUGGGCGCAAGCCUGAUCCAGCCAUGCCGCGUGAGUGAUGAAGGCCCUAGGGUCGUAAAGCUCUUUCGCCAGGGAUGAUAAUGACAGUACCUGGUAAAGAAACCCCGGCUAACUCCGUGCCAGCAGCCGCGGUAAUACGGAGGGGGUUAGCGUUGUUCGGAAUUACUGGGCGUAAAGCGCACGUAGGCGGAUCGGAAAGUUGGGGGUGAAAUCCCGGGGCUCAACCCCGGAACUGCCUCCAAAACUAUCGGUCUAGAGUUCGAGAGAGGUGAGUGGAAUUCCGAGUGUAGAGGUGAAAUUCGUAGAUAUUCGGAGGAACACCAGUGGCGAAGGCGGCUCACUGGCUCG
rnacentral:rRNA from 1 species